rnacentral:misc_RNA from 1 species
UGCAACUGGGCGCCAUAUGCAUCACUGCACAGCAAAUUUCAAGUCUAUCAAUUCUGUAUUCAAGCAAUGCAUGGUUUAUUGUUUUAGCAACAAUAAUUGUUUGAUUUUAAAGUAAGAAGAAAUUGUUUAAUAAAGAAAACAGGUGCUUAGAAAGAAUCUUUAGAACAUGCAUCAGAGAAAAUUUGAAACAAUUAUAAAUAGACUCAUCACAUCACAACACCUUAUUCGUAGGUUUUAUAAAGCCUAACCUAGUGCAUAUCAUACAGGCAUCUUCUAAUCCACAAAUCAAAAUUGAAAAUAUUACUAUCAAACACACUACACACUAAAGCCUAACCUCUGGUUAAUUCAUUACACAGUUUUGAGGUAACCAAAAAAAAAAA